rnacentral:rRNA from 1 species
GAGGAAUUUUCCGCAAUGGGCGCAAGCCUGACGGAGCGACGCCGCGUGAGGGAUGAAGGCUUUCGGGUUGUAAACCUCUUUUGCAGGGGAAAAAGGUACAUGUGCUCAUACCACGUGUAUUUGAUGGUACUUUGCGAAUAAGCCCCGGCUAACUACGUGCCAGCAGCCGCGGUAAUACGUAGGGGGCGAGCGUUGUCCGGAGUUACUGGGCGUAAAGGGCGUGUAGGCGGUUGGAUAAGUCUGGUGUGAAAUUCUCUGGCUUAACCAGGGAGCUGCGCUGGAAACUGUCUGACUGGAGUUCGGUAGGGGUCACUGGAAUCCCCGGUGUAACGGUGAAAUGUGUAGAUAUCGGGGGGAACACCUGUGGCGAAGGCGGGUGACUGGGCCGCAACUGACGCUGAGACGCGAAAGCGUGGGGAGCAAAC